GAUGAACGCUGGCGGCGUGCCUAAUACAUGCAAGUCGAGCGAACAGACGAGGAGCUUGCUCCUCUGACGUUAGCGGCGGACGGGUGAGUAACACGUGGAUAACCUACCUAUAAGACUGGGAUAACUUCGAGAAACCGGAGCUAAUACCGGAUAAUAUAUUGAACCGCAUGGUUCAAUAGUUAAAGACGGUUUUGCUGUCACUUAUAGAUGGAUCCGCGCCGCAUUAGCUAGUUGGUAAGGUAACGGCUUACCAAGGCAACGAUGCGUAGCCGACCUGAGAGGAUGAUCGGCCACACUGGAACUGAGACACGGUCCAGACUCCUACGGGAGGCAGCAGUAGGGAAUCUUCCGCAAUGGGCGAAAGCCUGACGGAGCAACGCCGCGUGAGUGAUGAAGGUCUUCGGAUCGUAAAACUCUGUUAUUAGGGAAGAACAAAUGUGUAAGUAACUAUGCACGUCUUGACGGUACCUAAUCAGAAAGCCACGGCUAACUACGUG
rnacentral:rRNA from 1 species